ensembl:lncRNA
AAAAAAAAUGAGUAGCAAUCUUUGGGUUUUAUCUACUCACGUAGUUUCUUCCCCCUCCCAUGUAUAUCUUUUUCUUUCAGGCCAAAUAAUGACUUGUUCAUUGUUCCUACAUGCGGCUGAUGGGACUUCCAAAGCAUCAUGGACUUAAUUAUGCAGUUUUUGUCGACCAAAGAGCAAAAACUAUUAUACGUGUUCUUGAAAGUUAACCAGUGCAGGGAGCUGUGUGCCAGGCCCUAUGCAUCAGUCAAGGCACGUGUAUGGGAACUGUUGGGUCACGGCCUGAGCCACUGGUUGAGCACCUGAGGAAAGGACCUGGUCAACCCUGGGAGCACAGGUGAAGGCAGUUCAGCUGUGUGACCAGAAGGGGUGGAGCCUGGCUGCACCUCUCUUAGACCUCCUUGAAGGGCUGACUGCCACUGGGGAAGGAUCUCUUUUUGGAGAUCCCUCCUUGGUGAAGCUUUCCCUGCAAACCUGGAAUCUUCUGAUAUGGCAUAGGACUUUUCAAACUUCUAAGUACUCUGCAGCCGACACCACAUUGGAAGCUAUUCAAGCAAGUGAACACUGGCCUGAAGAGUAAGAAAUGUCUAUCCUUGUUGUAAGGCUUUCUGGAGAAUCUGCUGGAGGGAGGACAAAUAUGUUUUAGAUAGAGAAGAACGUAAACUAGUGCUCGUAUUAUGUGGUAAUUUCACAUGAAUUAGGUUUCUUGUUUUUUACUGCUGAACUCUUACAGCUAGGAGAAAGAAGCUGCUUUGUGAGUCGUCAAUUUUCCUUUCUUUUUUUAAAAAAUAUGUAUUUUGACGCCUCUGUUCAAUUGAUUCCUGCAUUGUAAGGCCUUUAUAGUAUAGCUUUGAAUGACAAAUUUUUAAACAAGUUUAGGAAUCAAAAAUAGAUGCUGAAAUGCUGCAUAAUACAUACUAGAAUGAACUUCAAAAUUACUUAACUAAUGUCUGGAUGUGAAGAGGACUUUUGUGUAAUGAGAGCUCUGUGUGACAUUACGUGAAGAUCAAGUGUAAGUGAGAGCCACAAGAAGGAAUUUUUCUUGCUGUUCUGAUACGAUUGGUGUUGCAUUGUAUAGAUGGAAAAUGUAGAUCAAAAUAUUUUGCCAAACUUCACCUACUGGGUAUGUGCAUAUUGUGUAUGAAUUUGAGGAAGAAAAAACCUGCUUCUUUCCUUUUAACAGAGAGUGGAGACUGUGUAGUUCUGCAACCCUAGAAUAAGUAUUUAAGUUAUUGAAAAAUAGAAGGGUCAAUGUGAUAAUCUGUGUACCAAACAGCACUCAACAAAGAUUUCUACUGGGACAUUGCAGGCUUUUGGUAGCUAUCAUAGGCAG